rnacentral:rRNA from 1 species
AUCCUGGUGUUCUUGUUUUUAUGGAACCACGCUAACCCAUCUCGAACUUAGUUGUGAAACGGUAAAAAGAGUGAAAAUACUUAAGCCGUGGGCUUUGGAAAGAUAACUUAAUGUCAGGAU